GAUGAACGCUGGCGGCGUGCCUAAUACAUGCAAGUCGAGCGAACGGACGAGAAGCUUGCUUUUCUGAUGUUAGCGGCGGACGGGUGAGUAACACGUGGAUAACCUACCUAUAAGACUGGGAUAACCUCGGGAAACCGGAGCUAAUACCGGAUAAUAUUUUGAACCGCAUGGUUCAAAAGUGAAAGACGGUCUUGCUGUCACUUAUAGAUGGACCCGCGCUGCAUUAGCUAGUUGGUAAGGUAACGGCUUACCAAGGCAACGAUGCAUAGCCGACCUGAGAGGGUGAUCGGCCACACUGGAACUGAGACACGGUCCAGACUCCUACGGGAGGCAGCAGUAGGGAAUCUUCCGCAAUGGGCGAAAGCCUGACGGAGCAACGCCGCGUGAGUGAUGAAGGUCUUCGGAUCGUAAAACUCUGUUAUUAGGGAAGAACAUAUGUGUAAGUAACUGUGCACAUCUUGACGGUACCUAAUCAGAAAGCCACGGCUAACUACGUG
rnacentral:rRNA from 1 species